CCUACGGGAGGCUGCAGUGGGGAAUUUUGGACAAUGGGCGCAAGCCUGAUCCAGCUAUUCCGCGUGUGGGAUGAAGGCCCUCGGGUUGUAAACCACUUUUGUAGAGAACGAAACGACACCUUUUAAUCAAGCGUGUUGCUGACGGUACUCUAAGACUACGCACAGGCUAACUACGUGCCAGCAGCCGCGGUAAUACGUAGGGUGCGUGCGGUAAUCUGAAUUACUGGGCGUAAAGGGUACGCGGGCGGGUGCGUAAGACUGAUGUGAAAUCCCCGAGCGUAACUCGGGAAUGGCAGAUGUGACUGCGCGACUAGAGUGUGUCAGAGGGAGGUGGAAUUCCACGUGUAGCAGUGAAAUGCGUAGAUAUGUGGAAGAACACCGAUGGCGAAGGCAGCCUCCUGGGACAUAACUGACGCUCAGGCACGAAAGCGUGGGGAGCAAACAGGAUUAGAUACCCCGGUAGUC
rnacentral:rRNA from 1 species